rnacentral:rRNA from 1 species
AACCUCCGCAAUGUACGAAAGUGCGACGGGGGGAUCCCAAGUGUUAUGCUUAAAGGUAUGACUUUUCAUUAGUGUAAAAAGCUUUUAGAAUAAGAGCUGGGCAAGACCGGUGCCAGCCGCCGCGGUAACACCGGCAGCUCGAGUGGUAGCUGUUUUUAUUGGGCCUAAAGCGUUCGUAGCCGGUUUAAUAAGUCUUUGGUGAAAGCUUGUAGCUUAACUAUAAGAAUUGCUGGAGAUGCUAUUGGACUUGAAGUCGGGAGAGGUUAGAGGUACUACCGGGGUAGGGGUGAAAUCCUAUAAUCCUGGGAGGACCACCUGUGGCGAAGGCGUCUAACUGGAACGAUCUUGACGGUGAGUAACGAAAGCCAGGGGCGCGAACCGGAUUAGAUACCCGGGUAGUCCUGGCCGUAAACGAUGUGGACUUGGUGUUGGAAUGGCUUUGAGUUGUUCCGGUGCCGAAGGGAGGCUGUUAAGUCCACCGCCUGGGAAGUACGGUCGCAAGAUUGAAACUUAAAGGAAUU